rnacentral:rRNA from 1 species
AGCACGAAGGUUAGCUAAUCCUGGUCGGACAUCAGGAGGUUAGUGCAAUGGCAUAAGCUAGCUUGACUGCGAGCGUGACGGCGCGAGCAGGUGCGAAAGCAGGUCAUAGUGAUCCGGUGGUUCUGAAUGGAAGGGCCAUCGCUCAACGGAUAAAAGGUACUCCGGGGAUAACAGGCUGAUACCGCCCAAGAGUUCAUAUCGACGGCGGUGUUUGGCACCUCGAUGUCGGCUCAUCACAUCCUGGGGCUGAAGUAGGUCCCAAGGGUAUGGCUGUUCGCCAUUUAAAGUGGUACGCGAGCUGGGUUUAGAACGUCGUGAGACAGUUCGGUCCCUAUCUGCCGUGGGCGCUGGAGAAUUGAGGGGGGCUGCUCCUAGUACGAGAGGACCGGAGUGGACGCAUCACUGGUGUUCGGGUUGUCAUGCCAAUGGCACUGCCCGGUAGCUAAAUGCGGAAGAGAUAAGUGCUGAAAGCAUCUAAGCACGAAACUU